GCCCUCGUAGCUCAGCGGUUAGAGCCUCCUCUUAUUGUCGAUGUGUACUAGCUCAUAAUUAAGCUUCAUGGGAAGGCGUGGGUUCGACUCCCGCCGAGGGCG